GAUGAACGCUGGCGGCGUGCCUAAUACAUGCAAGUCGAGCGAACAGACGAGGAGCUUGCUCCUCUGACGUUAGCGGCGGACGGGUGAGUAACACGUGGAUAACCUACUUAUCAGACUGGGAUAACUUCGGGAAACCGGAGCUAAUACCGUAUAAUAUAUUGAACCGCAUGGUUCAUUAGUGAAAGACGGUUGUGCUGUCACUAAUCGAGGCAUCUGAGCCGCAUUAUCGAGUUGGUAAGGUAACGGCUUAUCAAGGCGACGAGGCGUAACCGAACGGCGGGGGUGAUCGGCCACACUGGAAGUGAGACACGGUCCAGACUCCUACGGGAGGCCGCAGUAGGGAAUCUUACGCAAUGGGCGAGAGCAUGACGGAGCAGCGCCGCGUGAGUGAUGAAGGUCUUCGGAUCGUAAAACUCUGUUAUUAGGGAAGAACAAAUGUGUCAGUAACUAUGCACGUCUUGACGGUACCUAAUCAGAAAGCCACGGCUAACUACGUG
rnacentral:rRNA from 1 species